CAAAGGCCUGGUCCUAACUUUAUCCUCCGCCUCUUGCAAAAUUAUACGUGUUAGUAUCCGCAACCCCGUGAGAGUGCCCCCAAAGCCCUACCCGUGGACGGGUCUUUCCCGUCAGGCACGCAUUUGCUGCCCAAGACGUCGUGCUCGGCCACACCCUCUGUUGAACUCAGCAGUAAUAAACAUUAGGCCAUAAGUGCAAACUUGACCUACGUACGGUUACCGAGGCCCGGUAAAACUCGUGCCAGCCACCGCGCCCAUACCAGUGUUAUACCCAGCGUAGGGUCAACGUUGUAGAGAGCGGUUAAGGACUCACCGAACUAAAGCCAAACGAUCUCCAAGCCGUCAUACGCACCCGAAAGAAUGAAACCCCACCUCGAAAGUGUUUUUAACUAAACCUGAACCCACGACAACUAGGAUACAAACUGGGAUUAGAUACCCCACUAUGCCUAGUCGUAAACACCAGUAGACGCCCUACAGCUUCUAUUCGCCCGGGGACUACGAGCGCCAGCUUAAAACCCAAAGGACUUGGCGGUGCUUUAGACCCACCUAGAGGAGCCUGUCCUAGAACCGAUACCCCCCGUUCAACCUCACCACUUCUUGCCUAACCCGCCUAUAUACCGCCGUCGUCAGCUUACCCCGUGAGGGUCAAAUAGUAAGCUCAGCUGGUACAGCCCAAAACGUCAGGUCGAGGUGUAGCAUACGAAGUGCGGAAGAGAUGGGCUACAUUUUCUGACCCAGAAAACUACGAAAGGAAUAAUGAAAACAAUCCCGAAGGAGGAUUUAGCAGUAAGCGGGGAAUAGAGCGCCCUACUGAAACUGGCCCUUAAGCGCGUACACACCGCCCGUCACCCUCUCCGAGGAUCCCCAGCCCCUUCAAAACCUAUAGCCUCUAAUGGGUAAAGGAGAGGUAAGUCGUAACAUGGUAAGUGUACCGGAAGGUGCACUUGGAUAACA
rnacentral:ncRNA from 1 species